rnacentral:rRNA from 1 species
AUAUUGGACAAUGGGCGAAAGCCUGAUCCAGCCAUGCCGCGUGUGUGAAGAAGGUCUUCGGAUUGUAAUGCACUUUAAGUUGGGAGGAAGGGCAUUAACCUAAUACGUUAGUGUUUUUACGUUACCGACAGAAUAAGCACCGGCUAACUUUGUGCCAGCAGCCGCGGUAAUACAGAGCGUGCAAGCGUUAAUCGUAAUUACUGGGCGUAAAGCGCGCGUAGGUGGUUUGUUAAGUUGGAUGUGAAAGCCCCGGGCUCAACCUGGGAACUGCAUCCAAAACUGGCAAGCUAGAGUACGGUAGAGGGUGGUGGAAUUUCCGGUGUAGCGGUGAAAUGUGUAGAUAUAGGAAGGAACACCAGUGGCGAAGGCGACCACCUGGACUGAUACUGACACUGAGGUGCGAAAGCGUGGGGAGCAAAC